AGGACGAACGCUGGCGGCGUGCUUAACACAUGCAAGUCACGGGGGGCCCGCAAGGGUAACCGGCGAACGGGUGCGUAACACGUGAGCAACCUACCGAGAUCUGGGGGAUAGCCGGCCCAACGGCCGGGUAAUACCGCAUACGCUCUUUCCACGGCAUUGUGGAUUGAGGAACCUCCGGGGGAUUUCGAGGGCUCGCGCCUAUCAGCUAGUUGGCGAGGUCACGGCUCGACCAAGGCGACGACGGGUAGCUGGUCUGAGAGGAUGGCCAGCCACAUUGGGACUGAGAAACGGCCCAGACUCCGUAGGGAGGCAGCGAGUGGGGAAUC
rnacentral:rRNA from 1 species